GCUUCAAUGUCAGUGGCUGACUUCUCAUCUUAGUGGCAUUUGAACAGGCAGCCGGGACCUGUCUCUCAGGAGCUGCGAACAGGGACUCAGCACAGAGAAGAGGGCAGCAGCAGGUAGAACAUUGUGGUCUGGUAGCAGUGCUAACUGUUCUCUCUAAGAGAGUUCCUGGUGGUGAUGAUGGGUGUCUGGCAUGGUCCUGUAGCCCAUGUGGAGGGCACUGAGUAUGUGCUGCAGAUUUGAUGGCCCACCCGGCUCUGAGUCCACAAAGGGCCUUGAGAGGAGGUGACAGACACCUCAGAAACCAAUGACCCUGACUGCAGGCUUUAAGGCCAGAGGGGCAUUCCUAUGCUCCCCCUCUCAGGUGCUUAGCAAGUAGGUUGAGGUUUACCUGGCCAGGUCCUAAUUUUUGCACAGUAAUUAUGCCCUCCAAAGCUGGACUGCUAAUUGCUUUUGCUAUUUCUGGACUCUGCCCCUCCUGAUAUGUCCUGCUGUUGGAGACAGAAAUAACCUGGCACUUGGCGGGUAAUUAUCACGGAGUGCUUCCAGAGUCAGCACACACUGAGCUGCAGCUGUGGAUCCCUGACUCAGCAUGUGAUGCUUGGCCAGGAUCAUGGGGAUGCCUGGCCCUGAUGGGCAGCAUCUCAUGGCUUUGGAGCCUCGCCUCCUUCAGGGAGCAUUCUCCUGCUUCCUCCUGCACCGAGUGUGUGUUGAAGCCCCCCUCUCUUUAGGUCCUCUUGACCUUGUUUGUAUAUCAUUGUCUUGCAGGAAGCAGGGACUUGAUGAAAGGAAGGAAGGAAGGAAGGAAGGAAGACCUUCAAUUUCUAGGUCUAGAUUCCUCCAAUUUAAUAACUAGGUUCCAGUUGUAGCUUUAAAAAUUUUUUUUUCACUAGUUUUCAUGGUCUUUGGAGAGAAAAAAGAAGUCCAAAUAUGGUUUAGGUGUAGAUGUUCCCUAAAGCCUUAUGUGCUCGUAGGUGGGGCUUUGGAAAGUGAUGGGUGGGAUUGUGGGAGCUGAUGCUUAUCAGUGGAUUAAUCCACUGGUGAGUCUGUAACUGACUUAUUGUUAGGGGAUGGGAUCUGGUUGGAAGAGAGGGGUCACUGGGGUGUGGCCCAGAAGAAUUUAUCUGUUCCCCACUCUUCCUUCACUCUCUCUGUUUCUCACCACCAUGCCAUGACCUGCUUCCCUUAUGCCAUGCCGCUCUGCCUUGGAGCCAGCUGACUAUGGUCUGAAACCUCUACAAGCUGUGAGCCAAGAUGAGAAAACCAAGACCAGAGAGAAGCAGGGAGUAUGUAAAGCCACAUCUGCCUAUUGACAGAACUGAGUUAAAAUCUUGGGUUUGUACUCUCAAGCCCAGGGACAAUCUUUAUCACCUGUGCUGAUGCUGCAAGCCUGGGAAAGGCAGAGGCAGAAUGCAUGUGGCCUUGGGCUUCUGCUGACACCGAGCCACAGUAAGAACACAGCAGGUCUGGGGUCCUGGGUGUCUGCAAGGAGGAAUUUGCAAUGGGGUUUCAGGGUGCAAGUGAAACUGUCUUGGUUGUAGCGUGUAAGUCAAGGAAGCUCAGUGCUUCUUCUCCUCUGUUUUCUGCAACAUUGACAUAGGCUGAGCUCAGAUGCAAACGAUGAAACCAAAGCCUACCUAUGGGCCUGUGCAGGGAUUAUCCUUGCCUUCCAGAAAUCCCCCAAGGACUCAAUUUUUAUUCUGGUUCUUUUCCCAAGUUUGUUCUUAUGCACCUUGAAGCAAAAGUCUGAGGCCAGGUAGGAACAGAGAGCCUAAAAAGAUUAUCUCCAGGACCUGUCCUUGUUCAUAAAUGCUAUACUUUUCAUUCUCCACCCCCUCCUCAGCUUCCCAGCCUCCAUCCAAAUCUGAGAUCCCGGUAGAAAGAUGCCAGCUGGCCAGUCCCCGUCACUGACUGAAACAACCAGGGAAAACCAGUGUGCUGUAUAGUUCAAGUCUCCUUUGGAACUGGUAGGGUCGCUUUCCUUUUUGGAACUGGCAGGUACUGCCUACCAGACCUACACAAAUCAUUCCAGAGACCAUAGGGAUCAGAGAUAUGAGAGUGAGGGAUGUUUUUCUUCCUAGGAAGACAGUAAUUGUGAAUUUGUCACCAACAGUGAUGUAGUGGUAAGCAAUUAAUUCUGGGGGACUCCCUGCCUGUUGACAUGUGUGGCUCCUGCCCUGAGCAGCUCCCCUUGCUUAGAAGGCUCCUAUCCUCCUUUUCAGUAGACAAACUAAUUUGUUUUAGACUCAGUUCCCUAGGGACAAAGGUGACUCCUUCAGCCAAGGGUCUAAUUUUGGUGAAUUGUCUUGCAAGGUAAGGAGAAGAGAGACAGAGAAAAUAUUAGCAGUGGCUUACCCUUGUACAGAGCUUCCUACACCCAAGCAUGAUUCAGAUGCAUGCCCAUACUCCAGGGAGGUAUCAUUACUGUUCCUACUUUGGAAGUGGGGAUACCAAGGUACAGAGGGGCUACUCAGAUGGCCCACGGUCACACAGCCCAAAGUGGCAGAGCAGCAUUCAAAUCCAGGCAGUGCUGCUCUAAGUGUGUUGUCCUUAUCAUGGUUCUGCACAGCUCUCCACCAGGUACCUGAGAGCAGAUGGGAGUGUGCUGGAAUUGGACAGACAGUCCAGGGCCGGGUCAUCUUCAUGAUGUGUGCACCCUCAGGGCCACUGAGGGAUAUGUUCGGGAGGCUGAUGGAGCAGAGGUAGGCUGAGGGACAUCUCCAAGGACACUCCACAAUGAAGCUAUGUGAACCUGCCAUCCCCUGCCAGUCUCUCUGACAUUUUCUGUCACUUGUGUUUGUCUUGGCAAAAACAGCUAGCCUUACUGAGGUUAUUGGAGACUGCAGAGCCAGCAGUGAGCUGAGAUUCUGGAAGAGAGCCAGUUUGGUUAAAAGCUGCCCCUGUGAGCCUUUGGGGACCUCUGGCUCUUUCUGACCUUGCAUAACAGUGUUUAGGUGGUGUCAGAGGGCCUCUGUGCUGAGGAACAAGCAUUGGGAGAUUUCCAUAGUAUUUGAGGAUAAGUUAGGAGGAUAGAAGGGUCUGUCAGUGUGCUGUGCUUUUGUGGAUUUGUACAAUUUUCCAUCAUCUAUCUACCUCUGUUUCCACCACAGCGAGAGGGGCCACAGCAAAAUGGUUAAGAACUUUGACUCUUCAUUCAAGCCAACUGAGUUUAAACCCCACCUUUUGUUGUCAUGGGCUGAGCGAUUUGCAGCCAGUUGCUAACUUCUUUGUGCCAUGUUUUCCCCUAUGGAGAAAUGGGAUAGAAGGAGAGCCUCCUCGGAUCCUGGAAAGACUGGGGAGAGAUGUGGUGUGCCACUAGGACACUCACAGACAUGAGAGUGGUGUCCUGCCCACUUCUCAUCUGGGCCUGGGGCUUGCCACCAUUAACUACUACCAGUGAGCUACACACACUGGAUUUUAAACACCGUCAUUGAUGCUCAUUUUUCUGCCUAUUUUAAUU